rnacentral:sRNA from 1 species
GGCAGUGCUACAGAUGUCAGCUUACG